rnacentral:rRNA from 1 species
GACAGAGGCCCCAAGCGUUUAGGCGGAAUCACUGGGCUUAAAGCGUGUGUAGGCGGACGCCUAAGUGUCUUGUGAAAUCCCACGGCUCACCCGUGGAACUGCUGGGCAUACUGGGCGUCUUGGGCCAACUAGGGGCAGCCGGAACAAGCGGUGGAGCGGUGAAAUGCGUAGAUAUCGCUUGGAACGCCGAAGGUGAAAACAGGCUGCUGGGGUUGCGCCGACGCUGAGACACGAAAGCCAGGGGAGCAAACGGGG